UUUGUUCGUGCCUGAGCCUUCAGGUUGCUCAUACAUAACUGAAAACAUUUAAUUUAAGCAAGGAUGAGCAUUUGAGUGCCCAGCAAGUAAUAGCAAUUAUAUAUAUAAGCUGAAAGAAUAUAAGUAUUCUCUUUACAUAACACUUCUACAACGAAUCAAAAGUUGUGAAGUAAUCUGUACUGAUAAAAGAUUCACAUAACAACUCUCUUUCAAUUUCUUGAAAUUAGGCUCCACCCAUGAAUAGGGUUUAAGAAACAUACUAUGAACAUUGUUUUUCAUUUUCGAAAAGGUUUAGCAGAAAUUCAUCCGCAAACCGUCAUAACUUACGGGCACGGAGGGUGAUCAGCCCCGUUGUACCCUGUAUUGAUCAAUACUACAUAACUUGAACGAAAUUCAUCGCUCACUCUAUCCGCCUUGGGCGCAAAAAUCUUCCCAUAUAGGGAUGUUCAUACAUGCCUGGUUCCAAACCCGAAGGUUUUUAAUCUUGCUCAACAAUAAUAUGUAAUUCAACAUAUAUGUAUACGGGUAAUUGACAAAGGUAUAUCAACAUGUGAAUAAAUGCCAUGAUUAUCCAAGUGGGGACACUUGUAUAACCAUUUAGAAAUCAACUUAACAGAAUAUAUAUCUGAGCUAACAUGUUGAUAAUCAAAGCGUACAUAAUCUGUACAGGAAUAGAAUAAUUCUGAAACUUCUUACUCAUGUCCAUUGCAUAAAGGAAAUGCAAAGGUAAGAUACUUGCCUGAUUCGCUGAUUACAAAUCUCAACUUAGGUUUUAUCUCUUUAUCACAACCUAUCAAUAAUCAGAUCAUUCGUUCGAUUAGAACAAUAUAUCAUAACACAUAGUACUGUCUAUUACAGUCAGCACAUAGUCUAAUCACGUCAUCACAUAAUCGCAGUGAUCAUACUUUUAGUUCAUAUUCUAUACUUGAAAUAUUUUUAUACAUUUUUCAAAUAUCUCAUCCAUGCUCUUACAGAAGUCUUUUCUUUCUAUUAUAGGGUCUGACAUUUGUCGGCGUACCGACAGCUUUAUCGGGUAAAUACUGAGUCUAAGACUCUUAUCCUAUACCUCAACAUCUGUAAAUAUCAAACAUUUUAUUUUUAAUCAUUUUCGAAUUUUCCAGAAAUUGAAAAAUUUAAAAUAAUUCAAAUCUGUCACUACCGGGCCUAUAGUGAUAUAACUGUUACUAUAGGUGUUCCUCAAAACUUCAUAACUUCAUAAUCGGUUCUCAAGUCAGCUAGUUUGGCCGGCUAUAACUUUCAAACAUCGGAAUCAUAAUUAAAUGAUUUAAACAUUAAACAAUUCCAUUAUCAUUAAUAAUUAAUUUAUAUUAAACUAUUAAUGAAACCAUUGCCAAAAUAUAAAAGUUAUUUAUAAUAACUCAAACUAUUUUUAAAACAUUUAUAUUACCCUUAAAUGAUUUUUAAAACAAUUAAAAUCAUUUUUAAAUAAUCACCAUUAAUAUAUAAAUAUUAAUGUACUAUUCAUCCAAAUAUUAAAAGUCAUUAAUUAUAACUUAAAAUAUUUUUAAAUCCUUAAUAUCCUCUUUAAAUGAUUUUUAAAUAAAUAAAACCAUUUUUAAACUAUUUAUUUAAUAAUAAUUAUUAAAUAAACUAAAUAUCAUUAAUAUUAUCUUAAUAUCAUUAAUAUUAAAUUAUUAAUGAAAUUAUCCUUUAAAUAUUAAAAGUUAUAUUUUAUAACUUAAAAUAUUUUUAAAUACCUUAAUUUCAUUUAAAAUGAUUUUUAUAAUAUUAAAAUCAUUUUUAAACUAAAUUAUUUAAUAUAAUCAUUAAAUAACUUUAAUAUCAUUAAUAUAUAAUUAAUUAAUGAAAUUCAUCACAAAAUAUUAAAAGUCAUGGAAAAUAACUUAAAAUAUUUUCUUAUACCAUAAAAUAAUUUUUCAUGAUUUUUCAUGAAUUAAAACUAUUUUUAAAUCAUUUAUUUAAUAUUAUAAUUAAAUAAAUAAAUACCUUUUAUAUUCCAAAAAUAUUAAAUAUUUAUGAAAUAUACUCAAAAUAAUUAAAAACUAUUUUUCGGACUUUAAAAUAAUUUUUUAGAAUUUAAUAAGUAUUUUUAAUAAUUAAAAUCUAAUUUUUCUAAUUUUUAAAUCAUUUUCGGAAAUUACAGAAAAUAAAAUAAAUAAAAUCCGUCGCUAAAGGCUAUAGCGACAGACAACCGUCGCUAUAGGUGUUCUUCAUCUCAAGAACACUGUCAGAGACAGUUCAAGGAGGCUACUUUGACCAUGAAUAACUUUUUGGUCUUAAUGAAUCUGGGCAAUCUAUGAAUUGGGUCUUGUAGAGGAAAUACCAGACUACAAUUACCAACAAUCAUAACCUCUAAAAAACAUCAGAUCUGGGAGAAAUCGUACCUCAAAGUAGCUGUCAGAGCUGUUCUUCGUGAAGAACAGUUCGUGAUGCCUACUUUGGACCUCUAUAACUUGAUGAUCGUGAAAUGUUUACGUGAUCUAUCAAUUCCAGUGUGUAGAAAACAUGUAGGACUACAACUCCAACACUUAACAUCAUCAUAACAACAAUAAAUCAAGCAUCUAAAGUAUGGUCAAACCUUGUAAGAAAAAUCAACACUUAGAAAAUUCUGGGCUGCCCAGAAUUUUCCGGUCAAUGCCGGUCAACCCAGUUUGACCUUAAAUAACUCUUAAUCCAUAAUAUAUAUGGACCUGAUUUGUUUUGGAGGUUAAAUACCACAUAACAAGCUACACAUAACAACCUUUAUAACACAAAACACAUUAAAGAUAACCGAAAUAUAAGGCCUGACAUUUUCCAAAAUAAUAUUUUCUGGACACUUAGAAUAUUUUCUGGGUUUGAAGAACAGCUGGUCAAUGCCGGUCAACUCACUUUGACCGCUUAUAAAUCCCGAUCUACAAUAGCUAUGAACUUUAUUCCUUUUGGAGAUUAAAUACCACAUAUCAGGCUACCUAUAACAACUUUUAAACAACAAAACUCGAGAUCGACCAAAGAGUUAUAGCCUCUGACAUUUGGUGAAAAAUAACAGAAUUCGGUUUUUCCAACUUGCUCAAAUCUUCAAAUUCGUGCACUUUGAUGUUAUGGGUUCAUGAUUUUACAACCCAGAACAUUAAUAGACUCUCUAUUACACUACUUUAAACAAUCAAUUGCAUCAAUUAACGUCGAAUCAAAGGAUUUCAAAAUUAGGGAAUUUCAUACAUUUUCUCACUUUGAUUUCUUGAUUUCUGACUUUGAUCUUGUGUUUUUGAUGCUUGUGAUCGUGGGGCUGUACUUAGGAGUGCAUGGGCAAGUGUUUUUGGGAGCUAAGAGGUUGAGAGAGCAUAGCUAGAAGAGUUGGGCAAUUUUAGUGUACAAAUGAGCUUAAUCCUCACUUAAUCUCUAUUUAUAGAAUAAUUCAAAUGCCUUGGAUGCU
rnacentral:lncRNA from 1 species